UCAAGAAACUUCCACAAUGGGCGAAAGCCUGAUGGAGCGACGUCGCGUGAUGGACGAAGUGCUUCGGCACGUAAACAUCUUUUUAUGUGGGAUGAAAUUAUUGACAGUACCACAUGAAUAAGGGGCUCCUAACUCUGUGCCAGCAGGAGCGGUAAUACAGAGGCCCCAAGCGUUAUCCGGAAUCACUGGGCGUAAAGGGUGUCGAGGCGGUUGUAUUAGUCGUUCGUAAAAUCUACGAGCUUAACUUGUAGGCGGCGAACGAAACGGUACGACUUGAGGUUUGGAGAGGUGCGUGGAACUCACGGUGUAGGGGUGAAAUCCGUUGAUAUCGUGGGGAACACCAAAGGCGAAGGCAGCGCACUGGCCAAAAUCUGACGCUCACACACGAAAGCUAGGGUAGCGAAGAGGAUUAGAUACCCCAGUAGUCCCUGAGCGGGCUGGCAAGGCGCAU
rnacentral:rRNA from 1 species